GUCGCUACUACCGAUUGAAUGGUUUAGUGAGACCUUGGGAGGGCGAGAUGAGGGGGGCAACCCCUUUUGAACAUCCAAACUUGGUCAAACUUGAUUAUUUAGAGGAAGUAA
rnacentral:rRNA from 1 species